UCAUAACCACACAUACAGAGCUAAAAGUAUUCUGAAUGUAAUUAUAGUCUAUCGUUUCUUCCCCUUUUCUAGGAGAUGCUCCAGCUCCCCCUGGGAAGACUAGUUCUAUUACAAGGCUUUAGAAGAUGGAUCCUCUGCGUUAAGCUAAGAGCUCCCCUGAUCUCAGUCAUUUUUCUAUUCCACUCUCCAGCAGCCAGAGUUCUGUUCCAAGAAGCCCCUUCCUUGCUGCUCUGAUUAAACCAUGAACAAUAGGCUUCUUUGGGGUGUGAUUAUUUGUUUCCUGAGACCAGGUCUCCUGGAUGGCAAAGAUACUGGAAUCACCCAAACCCCAAGAAAUCUAAUCACAAGAAUAAGGCAGAUUGUGACACUGAAAUGUAAACAGAAUUUGGGACACGAAACCAUGUACUGGUAUCGUCAGGACCUGGGCCAGGAGCUUAAGCUCAUUUAUUUCUCAAUGACACGAGGUGAUAUUCAGAAAGGAGACAUUCCCAAAGGAUACAAUGUCACACGGAAAGAAAAAGAGAUAUUUGCUCUCCUCAUGCCCUCAGCCAGCACCAAACAAACAUCUUUUUAUCUCUGUGCCUCCAGUCAAUACACAGUAAAGCAAAGUUAACUCUUCUCCACACAGAAACCUCCUUCAUCCCUCACUGCAACCCUGAGGGGCAGAAUCUUCCUGUCAUUUAUUACCCUUCUCCCAAUACAGGAAGCUAUUAUUGCUGUGAGAAAACUAUGAAUGAAAUGACCUUCAUACCAUUUGUCACAUUCUUGCAUGAACUGCAAUUUUUA